CCUACGGGAGGCUGCAGUGAGGAAUAUUGGUCAAUGGCCGGAAGGCUGAACCAGCCAAGCCGCGUGAAGGACGAAGGUGCCAAGCAUUGUAAACUUCUUUUGUCAAGGGACAAAAUCAGGCUCGAGAGCCUGACCGAGGGUACUUGAAGAAAAAGCAUCGGCUAACUCCGUGCCAGCAGCCGCGGUAAUACGGAGGAUGCGAGCGUUAUCCGGAUUUAUUGGGUUUAAGGGGUGCGUAGGCGGACUGUUAAGUCAGCGGGAAAAGCCCGGGGCUCAACCCCGGCGAGCCGUUGAAACGGGCUGUCUUGAGAUGUCGAGAGGUAUGCGGAAUGCGCAGUGUAGCGGUGAAAUGCUUAGAUAUUGCGCAGAACUCCGAUUGCGAAGGCAGCAUACCGGCGGCGAUCUGACGCUGAGGCACGAAAGCGUGGGUAUCGAACAGGAUUAGAUACCCUUGUAGUC
rnacentral:rRNA from 1 species